GAUCAAGAAGUCCGACCUCACGCCCUCCGGCUGGUCGGCUGGCAACCGCGCAACGCGCACGGUGCCCCCGGAGGAAGAUCUGCUCGCGGCAAGUUGCCGUGGGAAGAGCGAAAG
rnacentral:ncRNA from 2 species